rnacentral:rRNA from 1 species
UACGAAGGGGGCUAGCGUUGCUCGGAAUCACUGGGCGUAAAGGGUGCGUAGGCGGGUUUUUAAGUCAGGGGUGAAAUCCUGGAGCUCAACUCCAGAACUGCCUUUGAUACUGAAGAUCUUGAGUUCGGGAGAGGUGAGUGGAACUGCGAGUGUAGAGGUGAAAUUCGUAGAUAUUCGCAAGAACCCCAGUGGCGAAGGCGGCUCACUGGCCCGAUACUGACGCUGAGGCACGAAAGCGUGGGGAGCAAACAGG